CCUACGGGAGGCAGCAGUAGGGAAUAUUGCUCAAUGGGGGAAACCCUGAAGCAGCAACGCCGCGUGGAGGAUGAAGGUUUUCGGAUUGUAAACUCCUGUUGUUAGAGAAGAUAAUGACGGUAUCUAACGAAUAAGCACCGGCUAACUCCGUGCCAGCAGCCGCGGUAAUACGGAGGGUGCAAGCGUUAGUCGGAAUCACUGGGCGGAAAGAGCGCGUAGGCGGGAUAGCAAGUCAGAUGUGAAAUCCUAUGGCUUAACCAUAGAACUGCAUUUGAAACUGUUAUUCUAGAGUAUGGGAGAGGUAGGUGGAAUUCUUGGUGUAGGGGUAAAAUCCGUAGAGAUCAAGAGGAAUACUCAUUGCGAAGGCGACCUGCUAGAACAUAACUGACGCUGAUGCGCGAAAGCGUGGGGAGCAAACAGGAUUAGAUACCCGAGUAGUC
rnacentral:rRNA from 1 species